UGGGGAAUAUUGGACAAUGGGGGCAACCCUGAUCCAGCCAUGCCGCGUGAGUGAUGACGGCCUUAGGGUUGUAAAGCUCUUUUCUCCGGGACGAUAAUGACGGUACCGGAGGAAUAAGCCCCGGCUAACUUCGUGCCAGCAGCCGCGGUAAUACGAAGGGGGCUAGCGUUGCUCGGAAUCACUGGGCGUAAAGGGCGCGUAGGCGGCUGAUUUARUCGAGGGUGAAAGCCCGUGGCUCAACCACGGAAUGGCCUUCGAUACUGGUUGGCUUGAGACCGGAAGAGGACAGCGGAACUGCGAGUGUAGAGGUGAAAUUCGUAGAUAUUCGCAAGAACACCAGUGGCGAAGGCGGCUGUCUGGUCCGGUUCUGACGCUGAGGCGCGAAAGCGUGGGGAGCAAACAGGAUUAGAUACCCUGGUAGUCCACGCUGUAAACGAUGAAUGCUAGCCGUUGGGGUGCAUGCACCUCAGUGGCGCCGCUAACGCAUUAAGCAUUCCGCCUGGGGAGUACGGUCGCAAGAUUA
rnacentral:rRNA from 1 species